AUUGAACGCUGGCGGCAGGCCUAACACAUGCAAGUCGAACGAGUGGCGGACGGGUGAGUAAUGUCUGGGAAACUGCCCGAAGGAGGGGGAUAACUACUGGAAACGGUAGCUAAUACCGCAUACCAUCGGAUGUGCCCAGAUGGGAUUAGCUAGGAGGUGGGGUAACGGCUCACCUAGGCGACGAUCCCUAGCUGGUCUGAGAGGAUGACCAGCCCAACUGGAACUGAGACACGUUCCAUACUCCUACGGUAGGCAGCAGUGGGGAAUAUUGCACAAUGGGCGCAAGCCUGAUGCAGCCAUGCCGCGUGUAUGAAGAAGUCCUUCGGGUUGUAAAGUACUUUCAGCGAGGAGGCGUUACUCGCAGAAGAAGCACCGGCUAACUCCGAGCCAGCAGCCGCGGUAAUAC
rnacentral:rRNA from 1 species